rnacentral:rRNA from 1 species
CCUGGGAAACUGGGUCUAAUACCGGAUGCGACUGCUGCCCGCAUGGGCUGGUGGUGGAAAGGGUUAUGUACUGGUCUUAGAUGGGCUCACGGCCUAUCAGCUGGUUGGUGGGGUAAUGGCCUACCAAGGCGACGACGGGUAGCCGGCCUGAGAGGGUGACCGGCCACACUGGGACUGAGACACGGCCCAGACUCCUACGGGAGGCAGCAGUGGGGAAUAUUGCACAAUGGGCGCAAGCCUGAUGCAGCGACGCCGCGUGAGGGAUGACGGCCUUCGGGUUGUAAACCUCUUUCAGCAGGGAAGAAGCGGAAGUGACGGUACCUGCAGAAGAAGCGCCGGCUAACUACGUGCCAGCAGCCGCGGUAAUACGUAGGGCGCAAGCGUUGUCCGGAAUUAUUGGGCGUAAAGAGCUCGUAGGCGGCUUGUCGCGUCUGCUGUGAAAGCCCGGGGCUUAACUCCGGGUGUGCAGUGGGUACGGGCAGGC